GAAUUCGAUUAACGCGAAGAACCUUACCUAGGCUGGACAUGCACGUAGUAGGAGGAUGAAAGUCUAACGAGGUAGCAAUACCAGCGUGCUCAGGUGCUGCAUGGCUGUCGUCAGCUAGUGCCGUGAGGUGUUGGGUUAAGUCCCGCAACGAGCGCAACCCCUGUCUUCAGUUACUAACGGGUCAAGCCGAGAACUCUGGAGAGACUGCCCAGGAGAACGGGGAGGAAGGUGGGGAUGACGUCAAGUCAGCAUGGCCUUUAUGCCUAGGGCUACACACGUGCUACAAUGGCCGGCACAAAGCGCUGCAAACCCGUAAGGGGGAGCCAAUCGCAAAAAACCGGCCUCAGUUCAGAUCGAGGUCUGCAACUCGACCUCGUGAAGGCGGAAUCGCUAGUAAUCCCGGAUCAGCACGCCGGGGUGAAUACGUUCCCGGGCCUUGUCACACCGAAUCACUA
rnacentral:rRNA from 1 species